GAUGAACGCUGGCGGCGUGCUUAACACAUGCAAGUCGAACGAAGCACUUUAUUUGAUUUCCUUCGGGACUGAUUAUUUUGUGACUGAGUGGCGUACGGGUGAGUAACGCGUGUGUAACCUGCCUUGUACAGGGGGAUAACAGUUGGAAACGGCUGCUAAUACCGCAUAAGCGCACAGCAUCGCAUGAUGCAGUGUGAAAAACUCCGGUGGUAUAAGAUGGACCCGCGUUGGAUUAGCUAGUUGGUGAGGUAACGGCCCACGAAGGCGACGAUCCAUAGCCGACCAGAGAGGGGGACCGGCAACAUUGGGACUGAGACACGGCGCAAACUCGUAGGAGAGGGAGCAGUGGGGAAUAGUGCAAAAUGGGGGAAAGGCUGAUGCAGCGAAGCCGCGUGAGCGAAGAAGUAUUUCGGUAUGUAAAGCACUAGCAGCAGGGAAGAUAAUGACGGUACCUGACAAAGAAGCACCGGCUAAAUACGUG
rnacentral:rRNA from 1 species